rnacentral:piRNA from 1 species
CAGCAAGGACACGAAGGGAUAAGGCCCA